rnacentral:rRNA from 1 species
AUUGAACGCUGGCGGCAGGCCUAACACAUGCAAGUCGAGCGGAUGACGGGAGCUUGCUCCUGGCUUCAGCGGCGGACGGGUGAGUAAUGCCUAGGAAUCUGCCUGGUAGUGGGGGACAACGUUUCGAAAGGAACGCUAAUACCGCAUACGCCCUACGGGAGAAAGCAGGGGACCUUCGGGCCUUGCGCUAUCAGAUGAGCCCAGGUCGGAUUAGCUAGUUGGUGAGGUAAUGGCUCACCAAGGCGACGAUCCGUAACUGGGCUGAGAGGAUGAUCAGUCGCACUGGAACUGAGACACGGUCCAGACUCCUACGGGAGGCAGCAGUGGGGAAUAUUGGACAAUGGGCGAAAGCCUGAUCCAGCCAUGCCGCGUGUGUGAAGAAGGUCUUCGGAUUGUAAAGCACUUUAAGUUGGGAGGAAGGGUUGUAGAUUAAUACUCUGCAAUUUUGACGUUACCGACAGAAUAAGCACCGGCUAACUCUGUGCCAGCAGCCGCCGUAAGAC